GAGCGGAUUAGCGGCGGACGGGUGAGUAACACGUGAGUAACCUGCCUUAGACAUUGGGAUAGCCUCGGGAAACCGGGAUUAAUACCAAAUAAAAUCAUAAUGACACAUGUCAUAACGAUCAAAACUCCGGUGGUCUAAGAUGAACUCGCGUCCCAUUAGCUAGUUGGUAGAGUAAAAGCCUACCAAGGCGACGAUGGGUAGCCGGCCUGAGAGGGUGAACGGCCACAUUGGAACUGAGAAACGGUCCAA
rnacentral:rRNA from 1 species